rnacentral:rRNA from 1 species
GACGAACGCUGGCGGCGUGCCUAAUACAUGCAAGUAGAACGCAGUUGCGAACGGGUGAGUAACGCGUGGGUAACUGCCUCAUAGCGGGGGAUAACUCUUGGAAACGAUAGCUAAUACCGCAUACUGUGAGAUGGACCUGCGUUGUAUUAGCUAGUUGGUGAGGUAACGGCUCACCAAGGCGACGAUACAUAGCCGAACUGAGAGGGUGAACGGCCACAAUGGGAAUGAGAGACGGCCCAGACUCCCAAGGGAGGCCGCAGGAGGGAAACAUCGGUAAUGGACGGAAGUCUGAACGAGCAAAGCCGCGGGAGGGAAGAAGGUCUUUGGAGCGUAAAGCUCUGUUGUUAGAGAAGCGGUACCUAACCAGAAAGCGACGGCUAACUACGUGCCAGCAGCCGCGGUAAUUC